AUGGCCGCCCGCUUGCCGAGAGCUGGUGGCAACGGCGUCCUGGCUGGCAGCCCUCGACGGGAGCUGGCAUGUGCCCCCUACCAUCCCACAAGACUUAAUGCCAAGGCCCACCUCAGCUGGGUCACCAAGGAGGAAGGCUCAGCCUGCCCUGUCCAGGAACCCACCUCCAGGCCUCACCACAACCGAGAGCAUGGCACGGCUGGCCCUGUAGACACCAUACUGCACCUGCCCACUGUGCCCACCCUGCCCAGCCCUGCCCUCCCUGCCCACCCUGCCGGCAUCCUGAGCGCACAACCACCAGCCACCUCACAGCCACGUCCAGCCCCCACCCUGGUGCCCGCUGGCCCUCAAUGGCCACACCCAGCAGGUCCAGACCCAGCCUCCGUCCAAGCCCCCAUCGUCUUCCCCUUGGCCACCUGCUGCAAGGGCACCGUGGCCAGUGCCGCGUCUACGACAGUGGGCUGCCUGGUCACUGGCUACUUCCCGAUGCCUGUGACUGUGAUCUGGGAUGCAGGGUCCCUGAACAAGAGCGUCGUGACCCUCCCCACCACCCUCCAGGAGACCUCUGGCCUCUACACCACCAGCAGCCACAUGACCGUCUCAGGCGAGUGGGCCAAACAGAAGUUCACCUGCAGCGUGACUCACGCUGAGUCCCCCUCCAUCAACAGGACCUUCAGCGCAUGUGCCAUGAACUUCAUCCCACCCACUGUGAAGUUCUUCCACUCCUCAGUAACACCGGCACCACCAUCCAGCUCCUGUGCCUCAUCUCCGGCUACUUCCCUGGUGACAUGGAGGUCACCUGGCUGGUAGAUGGGCAGAAGGCCACAGACGUAUUCCCAUACACUGCCCCCAGCAAGCAGGAGGGCAAGGUGAUCUCUACCCAUAGCGAGCUCAACAUCACACAGGACGAGUGGGUGGCCCAGAAGACCGACACCUGCCAGGUCACCUACCAAGGCUUCACCUUUGAGGACAACACUCACAAGUGCACAGAGUCCGACCCCCGAGGCGUGAGCACCUACCUGAGCCCGCCCAGCGCUCUUGACCUGUAUGUCCACGAGUCGCCCAAGAUCACCUGCCUGGGGGUGGACCUGGACAACAUGGAGGGCGUGACCCUGAGCUGGGCCCGGGAGAGCGGGGAGCCCGUGCACCCAGACCCAAUAGUCAAUAAGACUCAGUACAACAGGAUGAUCACCGUCACGUCCACCCUGCCAGUGGACGCCACUGAAUGGGUCGAGGGGGAGACCUACCAGUGCAAGGUGACCCACCCGGACCUGCCCAAGGACAUCGUGCGCUCCAUUGCCAAAGCCCCCGGCCGGCGUGUCCCCUCGGAGGUGUACGUGUUCCUGCCGCCCGAGGGGGAGCCGAAGUCCAAAGACAAAGUCAACCUUAUGUGCCUGAUCCAGAACUUCUUCCCCCCGGACAUCUCGGUGCAAUGGCUUCGAAAUGACAGCAGGCCGCCACCUGACCCUCACAAGGCCACCGGCCCCAGCCCUGCCUUCUUUGUCUUCAGCCGCCUCGAGGUUAGCCGGGCAGACUGGGAGCAGAGGAAUGUGUUUGCCUGCAAAGUGGUGCACGAGGCGCUGCCCGGCUCUAGGAUGAUCAAGAAAUCCUGGGCAGCAGAGCUGCUGGGGGUGGGGGACCUGUGCGCAGACACCGCCGAGAGCGACGAGCUGGACGAGCUGUGGACCAGCCUGCUGGUCUUCGUCACCCUGUUCCUGCUCAGCGUGAGCUACAGGGCCGCCGCCACCCUCCUCAAGGUGAAGUCCGUAUUCGCCACUGUCCUGCAGAAGCCACAGGCCUUCCAGGACUACACAAACAUCAUGCGGCCAGCAGAGGAGCCAGAGCAGGGAGGCGAGGACACGCUUCCUCCUCCCCUCCCCCCUCCCCCCUCCCCGCCCUGUGUCUGA